rnacentral:misc_RNA from 1 species
UGGUUCUGGCGUCGAUGAAGAACGCAGCGAAAUGCGAUAAGUAAUGUGAAUUGCAGAAAACAGUGAAUCAUCGAAUCUUUGAACGCACAUGGCGCUCUCUGGCAUUCCGGAGAGCACAUCUGUUCGAGCGUCGCAAACACAAGAUCGAACGUCUCUUGAUGUUCGGAGCUGGGCCGGUCGUCCGCGGAGGACGCGCCCGAAAAAGAGCGGCAGGUUGAGCGAAGCCCCCAGCGCGUUGACAUUUAAUUUCGCUGAAGGCGGUUCCAAUCGGCCUUGCAGUCAAAAUCUGGCGCGCUUACUGCGUUUGCCUUUUUUUCCACAAAUCGACCUCGGAUCAGAUGGGAAUACCCGCUGA